CCUACGGGAGGCAGCAGUCGAGAAUCAUUCACAAUGGGGGAAACCCUGAUGGUGCGACGCCGCGUGGGGGAAUGAAGGUCUUCGGAUUGUAAACCCCUGUCAUGUGGGAGCAAAUUAAAAAGAUAGUACCACAAGAGGAAGAGACGGCUAACUCUGUGCCAGCAGCCGCGGUAAUACAGAGGGCUCAAGCGUUGUUCGGAAUCACUGGGCGUAAAGCGUGCGUAGGCGGUUUCGUAAGUCUUGUGUGAAUGGCGGGGGCUCAACCCGCGGACUGCACAUGAUAGUGCGAGACUAGAGUAAUGGAGGGGGAACCGGAAUUCUCGGUGUAGCAGUGAAAUGCGUAGAUAUCGAGAGGAACACUCGUGGCGAAGGCGGGUUCCUGGACAUUAACUGACGCUGAGGCACGAAGGCCAGGGGAGCGAAAGGGAUUAGAUACCCUUGUAGUC
rnacentral:rRNA from 1 species